rnacentral:rRNA from 1 species
GACGAACGCUGGCGGCGUGCUUAACACAUGCAAGUCGAACGGAAAGGCCCUGCUUUUGUGGGGUGCUCGAGUGGCGAACGGGUGAGUAACACGUGAGUAACCUGCCCUUGACUUUGGGAUAACUUCAGGAAACUGGGGCUAAUACCGGAUAGGAGCUCCUGCUGCAUGGGGGGGGUUGGAAAGUUUCGGCGGUUGGGGAUGGACGCGCGGCUUAUCAGCUUGUUGGUGGGGUAGUGGCUUACCAAGGCUUUGACGGGUAGCCGGCCUGAGAGGGUGACCGCCCACAUUGGGACUACGAUACGGCCCAGACUCCUAUGGGAGGCAGCAGUGGGGAAUAUGGCACAAUGGGCGGAAGCGUGAUGCAGCAACGCCGCGAGCGGGAUGACGGCCUUCGGGUUGUAAACCGCUGUCGCCUGUGACGAAGCGGGAGUGACGGUAAUGGGUAAAGAAGCACCGGCUAACUACGUG